AUGGCCAUAUCACUUUGAAACAACGGCUCUUGUACAAUUACAAAAGUUAAGCAACGUCGAGCCUGGUCAGUACCUAGAUGAGUGAUCUUUUGGGAAUACCUGGUGCUGUAAG